rnacentral:rRNA from 1 species
UACGGGGGGGGCAAGCGUUGUUCGGAAUUACUGGGCGUAAAGGGCUCGUAGGUGGCCAACUAAGUCAGACGUGAAAUCCCUCGGCUUAACCGGGGAACUGCGUCUGAUACUGGAUGGCUUGAGGUUGGGAGAGGGAUGCGGAAUUCCAGGUGUAGCGGUGAAAUGCGUAGAUAUCUGGAGGAACACCGGUGGCGAAGGCGGGUCUCUGGGACGAUACUGACGCUGAGGAGCGAAAGCGUGGGGAGCGAACAGG